rnacentral:rRNA from 1 species
AGAUUGAACGCUGGCGGCGUGCCUUACACAUGCAAGUCGAACGCGAAAGGGGGGGCAACCCCCGAGUAGAGUGGCGAACGGGUGAGUAAUACAUCGGAACGUGUCCAGUAGCGGGGGAUAACCUCUCGAAAGAGAAGCUAAUACCGCAUACGACCUACGGGUGAAAGAGGGGGGAUCGCAAGACCUCUCACUAUUGGAGCGGCCGAUGUCGGAUUAGCUAGUUGGCGGGGUAACGGCCACCAAGGCUACGAUCCGUAGCUGGUCUGAGAGGACGACCAGCCACACUGGAACUGAGACACGGUCCAGACUCCUACGGGAGGCAGCCAGGUGGGGAAUUUUGGACAAGUGGGCGCAAGCCUGGAUCCGAGCCAUGGCCGCGGUCGAGUAGAAGAAGGCCGUUCGGGUUAGUAAA